rnacentral:rRNA from 1 species
GAUGAACGCUAGCUACAGGCUUAACACAUGCAAGUCGAGGGGAAACGACAUCGAAAGCUUGCUUUUGAUGGGCGUCGACCGGCGCACGGGUGAGUAACGCGUAUCCAACCUGCCCACCACUUGGGGAUAACCUUGCGAAAGUAAGACUAAUACCCAAUGAUAUCCCACGAAGGCAUCCGAAUGGGAUUAAAGAUUUAUCGGUGAUGGAUGGGGAUGCGUCUGAUUAGCUUGUUGGCGGGGUAACGGCCCACCAAGGCAACGAUCAGUAGGGGUUCUGAGAGGAAGGUCCCCCACAUUGGAACUGAGACACGGUCCAAACUCCUACGGGAGGCAGCAGUGAGGAAUAUUGGUCAAUGGGCGAGAGCCUGAACCAGCCAAGUAGCGUGCAGGACGACGGCCCUAUGGGUUGUAAACUGCUUUUAUAAGGGAAUAAAGUGGGUCACGUGUGACUUUUUGCAUGUACCUUAUGAAUAAGGACCGGCUAAUUCCGUG